rnacentral:rRNA from 1 species
GAUGAACGCUGGGCGGUCUGCUUAAACACAUGCAAGUCGAACGAACUCUUCGGGAGUGAGUGGCGGACGGGUGAGUAAACGCGUGAGAAUCUGGCUGGUGGGUCGGGGACAACCACUGGAAACGGUGGCUAAUACCGGAUGAGACCGAAAAGGUAAAAGAUUUAUUGCCCACAGAUGAGACUCGCGUCUGAUUAGCUAGGUUGGUAAAGGU